CUUGAGUUUGAUACCUGGAUCCCACUUCAUGGAGGGAGAAACCUGACUGCCAGAAAUUGUCCUCUGACCUCUACACAUGUGCCAUGGCAUAUGCACCCCCCACCAUGCGCACAAGUAAAAGUUAUUUUUUAAUGUGCACAUCAUCUCCAGCCUCAGUCCUCAUGCGUUUUCACACCCUGAAGCAGCCUCUCCAGGUGCCUCCUCAUCAACGCCGUUUUUCCAGGACUGGUUCCCCCUGACACACAACCUGCACUAUUUCCCAGGACUUCCUGCUUCCUUUGAAACCAGCCUCUCUGCAGGAACCAGCUCCCAAGCAUCGGUGCCCCCUGCCAGGUGGAUGCAGAAGAUAAACAGGUGGGCAGUUUGACAGGGAUAAUUUCCAGUGGUCACUUACAGGAGACACUUACAUGUUGUGUCAGCUUUUUGUUCCUGAGUAAGCCUUGGAACUGGGGCUGAGUCCACAGCCUCAGCUAAUAAAACCCUCUUGCAUCCGU